rnacentral:rRNA from 1 species
CUGGUUGAUCCUGCCAGAGGUUACUGCUAUCGAGAUUCGACUAAGCCAUGCGAGUCGAAUGUUCUUCGUGAACAUGGCGAACUGCUCAGUAACACGUGGACAACCUACCCUUGGGUUCGGCAUAAUCCUGGGAAACUGGGGAUAAUACCGGAUAGGUCACAGCUGCUGGAAUGCACUGUGGCUCAAAGCUCCGGCGCCCAAGGAUGGGUCUGCGGCCUAUCAGGGUUGUAGUGGGUGUAAUGUACCUACUAGCCUACGACGGGUACGGGUUGUGAGAGCAAGAGCCCGGAGAUGGAUUCUGAGACACGAAUCCAGGCCCUACGGGGUGCAGCAGGCGCGAAAACUUUACAAUGCGGGAAACCGUGAUAAGGGAAUCUCGAGUGCCAGCAUAUAAUGUUGGCUGUCCAGAUGCCUAAAAAGCAUCUGUUAGCAAGGGCCGGGCAAGACCGGUGCCAGCCGCCGCGGUAACACCGGCGGCCCGAGUGGUAACCGCUAUUAUUGGGUCUAAAGGGUCUGUAACCGGCCAGGUAAGUCCCUUGGGAAAUCUGGCAGCUCAACUGUCAGGCUGCUAGGGGAUACUGUUCGGCUUGGGACCGGGAGAGGUGAGAGGUACCUUGGGGGUAGGGGUGAAAUCUUGUGAUCCUCGGGGGACCACCAGUGGCGAAUGCGUCUCACCAGAACGGGUCCGACGGUGAGGCACGAAAGCUAGGGGCACGAACAGGAUUAGAUACCCGGGUAGUCCUAGCCGUAAACGAUGCUCGCUAGGUGUCAGUCACUGUGCGACCGUGAUUGGUGCCGUAGGGAAGCCGUGAAGCGAGCCACCUGGGAAGUAUGGCCGCAAGGUUGAAACUUUAAGGAAUUGGCGGGGGAGCACUAC